rnacentral:rRNA from 1 species
CCCUAGUAACGGCGAGUGAAGCGGCAACAGCUCAAAUUUGAAAUCUGGCGUCUUCGGCGUCCGAGUUGUAAUUUGCAGAGGGCGCUUUGGCAUUGGCAGCGGUCCAAGUUCCUUGGAACAGGACGUCACAGAGGGUGAGAAUCCCGUACGUGGUCGCUAGCCUUUACCGUGUAAAGCCCCUUCGACGAGUCGAGUUGUUUGGGAAUGCAGCUCUAAAUGGGAGGUAAAUUUCUUCUAAAGCUAAAUACUGGCCAGAGACCGAUAGCGCACAAGUAGAGUGAUCGAAAGAUGAAAAGCACUUUGGAAAGAGAGUUAAAAAGCACGUGAAAUUGUUGAAAGGGAAGCGCUUGCAGCCAGACUUGCCUGUAGUUGCUCAUCCGGGUUUCUACCCGGUGCACUCUUCUAUAGGCAGGCCAGCAUCAGUUUGGGCGGUUGGAUAAAGGUCUCUGUCAUGUACCUCUCUUCGGGGAGAACUUAUAGGGGAGACGUCAUGCAACCAGCCUGGACUGAGGUCCGCGCAUCUGCUAGGAUGCUGGCGUAAUGGCUGUAAGCGGCCCGUCUUGAAACACGGACCAAGGAGUCUAACAUCUAUGCGAGUGUUUGGGUGUCAAGCCCGAGCGCGUAAUGAAAGUGAACGGAGGUGGGAACCUUUCGGGGUGCACCAUCGACCGAUCCUGAUGUCUUCGGAUGGAUUUGAGUAAGAGCAUAGCUGUUGGGACCCGAAAGAUGGUGAACUAUGCUUGAAUAGGGUGAAGCCAGAGGAAACUCUGGUGGAGGCUCGCAGCGGUUCUGACGUGCAAAUCGAUCGUCAAAUUUGGGCAUAGGGGCGAAAGACUAAUCGAACUAUCUAGUAGCUGGUUCCUGCCGAAGUUUCCCUCAGGAUAGCAGUAACGUUUUCAGUUUUAUGAGGUAAAGCGAAUGAUUAGAGGCCUGGGGGUUGAAACAACCUU